GGAAGUAAAAGUUGUAACAAGGUUUCCGUAGGUGAACCUGCGGAAGGAUCAUUAUUAUAUAACCGAGGUGCGAGGGCUGUCGCUGACCCGAAAGGUCGUGCACGCCCGAGUGCCCUCACACACAUCCACCUCACCCCUAUGUGCACCACCGCGUGGGUCCCCCUUUGGCUUGUUCGGAGGGGGGCUUACGUUUUCACACAAACUUUGUAUGCAGUGUAGAAUGUAUUUUUUGUUUUUGCGACCACGCAAUCAAUACAACUUUCAACAACGGAUCUCUUGGCUCUC
rnacentral:misc_RNA from 1 species